rnacentral:rRNA from 1 species
AACCUCCGCAAUGUGAGAAAUCGCGACGGGGGGAUCCCAAGUGCCAUUCUUAACGGGAUGGCUUUUCAUUAGUGUAAAGAGCUUUUGGAAUAAGGGCUGGGCAAGACCGGUGCCAGCCGCCGCGGUAACACCGGCAGCUCUAGUGGUAGCAGUUUUUAUUGGGCCUAAAGCGUCCGUAGCCGGUUUAAUAAGUCUCUGGUGAAAUCCUGUAGCUUAACUGUGGGAAUUGCUGGAGAUACUAUUAGACUUGAGACCGGGAGAGGUUAGAGGUACUCCCAGGGUAGAGGUGAAAUUCUGUAAUCCUGGGAGGACCGCCUGUUGCGAAGGCGUCUAACUGGAACGGUUCUGACGGUGAGGGACGAAAGUUAGGGGCGCGAACCGGAUUAGAUACCCGAGUAGUCCUAACUGUAAACGAUGCGGACUUGGUGUUGGGGUGGCUUUGAGCUGCUCCAGUGCCGAAGGGAAGCUGUUAAGUCCGCCGCCUGGGAAGUACGGUCGCAAGACUGAAACUUAAAGGAAUU